rnacentral:rRNA from 1 species
GACGAACGCUGGCGGCGUGCUUAACACAUGCAAGUCGAACGGACUACUUUGCUUCGGUAAGGUGGUUAGUGGCGAACGGGUGAGUAACGCGUAGACACCCUACCUCUUAGAUGGGGACAACAUCGCGAAAGCGGUGCUAAUACCGAAUGAAGUGACUUUCCUGCAUGGGAGAGAUACUAAAGCUGGCCUCUAUUUAUAAGCUACCACUGAGAGAUGGGUCUGCGUCUGAUUAGCUAGUUGGCGGGGUAACGGCCCACCAAGGCGUCGAUCAGUAGCCGGUCUGAGAGGAUGAACGGCCACAUUGGGACUGAGACACGGCCCAAACUCCUACGGGAGGCAGCAGUGGGGAAUCUUCCGCAAUGGACGAAAGUCUGACGGAGCAACGCCGCGUGAGUGAAGAAGGUUUUCGGAUCGUAAAGCUCUGUUGUUCGAGACGAAUGUGCCUGUUUCGAAUAGGGAUAGGUAAUGACGGUAUUAAACGAGAAAGCCACGGCUAACUACGUGCCAGCCGCCGCGGUAA